UGUUGGUGAAGAGGGACUCGUGACCUAGAUUUGACGAAAGAGCAGUUAACUAUGCAAAAAGAAAAAAAUGGAGGGGUGGAGAAAAGUUUUUAUUCGAAAAUCGGUUUUUUCCCCUGCGCCAUGGGGGAAAGGCAUCCUGCCCAGGCUGACGGUGAUGUAUUUACUUGGUUUGGGGCGGGGAGAGAUUUCACUGAACCGCGGAAUGACCCAGUUUUCGCCCAUCAUCUCCCGAGUUGAAGAAGGCGGCGCCGGGAACGGAAGAGUUAACCAGCUCGGCUCUUCAAUCACGGGCUGCCUGUUCUCGUGGCGUCCAGUUCAUGAGCUUUGCUCAGAAUGUGCUGCCGCCGUUGGACCAGUCAGCAGAGCCCAUGACGCAAGAGCACGUGGUAGGGAUCCGAGCGAAGUUUAGCAUGUUGGCAAAGGCCAGAUGAGCCCAGAUCCUCGGGAUUUUGCCCGUGCCGCACGGAACCACAUUGCAGGCAAGCUGGUUUUGGGUGGCUGUUAUUUAUGGCGUGGGUCACAGGAAUCGUGGUAUGUUUCCUGCCGUGGAGCUGCUUGAGAUGUUCCCUUGGGAUUUCUCAGAGGAAGUCCAUGGAGGGCACGUGCCCAUUGCUCUGUGAGAAAGACAAGCACAACCCGCCGUGUGAUCGGAGACGGUUCCUGGCCCUUUCAGCGCUGGCACUGAGCAAGAAUCUGGUUUGGAUCCACAACCAUGAGGAAGUUCCUCUUUGGAAAACAGAAAAAAUCUUCUACUGAAGCAAGCAAUCCAGGGGUAUCAUGUCUGGGACACACAGAGCUAAAAGGGAGAAUAAAGAGAAUCCAUGAAAGA